GCCCAGGUGGUGAAAUUGGUAGACACGCCACUUUGAGGGGGUGGUGGGCGCAAGCCCGUGUGAGUUCGAGUCUCGUCCUGGGCA
rnacentral:tRNA from 1 species